AGAACUCGUGUCUCACGGUGGGUGGCGGCAUUUACGUUGUAGACGUCUAUGGGCUCCGGUAACCCCUUAACACCAGGUGGGCCGUGAGCUCGUCCGUCCCAUUAAGCAGAAAAAAAUCUAACCGAAAAAUACGUUGGAUGAUUGGUUUAUAAGGCUGGGAGACCGCAGGACACGACGCCAGUACUAUAAAAACAUGAUUGUGCUUUCAAUAUCUCAUAUAAGUCGCAACUUUUGUUUGGUACACAUGCCUUAACUCAAAUCUAACUGUGUACAUAUAAAACAACGCGAGGAUAAUACCUUUUUUUAAUACCUAUAAGUGUUUCUCUUAACAUUAUAUCUCGCAAUAAAUAAGUUUAAUGAUUUAGCAAGGUCAACUUUUACAUAAAUAAUACUUAUAUUAGUUUCUGUUGAGCUUCAACCAAUUCGCUGAAAAUUUAUACAAUGAAGUUGGUUAUUCUAUUAGUGUGCGUGGCGCUGUGCUCCUGCCAACGACCGUUCUACGCCGGCCGAAGACCAAUAGGCUUUCCAACAAUACAACCUUCGGGUGUAGCCAGCCGAUCCUCGGUCGACCCACUGCCACCACAACUGAACGGCGACAAAGAAUACGCGAACCGUCUCGAUAGUUUGCCCAUAGACCAGCAGCCAUUUUGGUACAUCAACAGAGAAAAGUACAAUGAGCUCAUGAAGAAUCCAAAGACGUACAGUCAAAGGCCCAAUGGUUUCAUCGAUAACAACGGUGUUUGAAUUUUUUUUUGCGUUCAAUAAAUCUUGUUUUGAUUUAA